GGAUUAGAUACCCUGGUAGUCCACGCCGUAAACGAUGGAUACUAGCUGUUGGACUUUCGGGUUCAGUGGCUAAGCGAAAGUGAUAAGUAUCCCACCUGGGGAGUACGUUCGCAAGAAUGAGACUCAAAGGAAUUAACGGGGGCCCGCACAAGCGGUGGAGCAUGUGGUUUAAUUCGAUGAUACGCGAGGAACCUUACCAGGGCCUAAAUGUAAGUUGACAGGGGUGGAAACACCUUUUUCUUCGGACAAUUUACAAGGUGCUGCAUGGUUGUCGUCAGCUCGUGCCG
rnacentral:rRNA from 1 species